UCAUUACUGCAGCAGCUUUUUGAACAUGGGCAAGUCCAGCAAGAAAUCUGAUACUAAGGUUGCUGUGGCUACUCCUGUCACAGAUGUGAAGGCAUCUAAAAAGGGGGCUAAGAGGGAUGCAGGGGAUGCUUUGGAGAAAUUGGUGAGCG